UACGUAGGGUGCGAGCGUUGUCCGGAAUUAUUGGGCGUAAAGGGCUCGUAGGCGGUUUGUCACGUCGGGUGUGAAAACUCGGGGCUUAACCCCGAGCCUGCUUCCGAUACGGGCUGACUAGAGGUAUGCAGGGGAGAACGGAAUUCCUGGUGUAGCGGUGAAAUGCGCAGAUAUCAGGAGGAACACCGAUGGCGAAGGCAGGUCUCUGGGCCGAUACUGACGCUGAGGAGCGAAAGCGUGGGGAGCGAACAGG
rnacentral:rRNA from 1 species